GGUUCGGAAGUUUCCAAUAUGGCGGCCAAGUUGUUGAGCCGAUCGUGAAAUCCCAAGUCUUUGUGUUUCACAUAUUCUACCUCUGAGUUCUCUGUGAAAUUUGUAUCACGUAAGAUCCCUGUCGCCCUCCUCAUUGCGUGCGGAACGUAUUUUGGUGUGAGCCUUUUGGCCUUGUGGCUGUUACAUAUACAACUGAGAACAUGGAAAUCAUGAGGAUGGAGGUUUCAAGAUCUUUGUCAGAUCGGUGGACGUCGGAAAGAAUAUACAAAGGUACUUGCUCCAGAAUAUCUAAAAGUACCAAACACAGAAAAUGAGUGGGAUGCAGUGGCAGGCAAAUUUCAGGCAAGAUGGAAUUUUCUGAAUGGUAGUUGAGCUAUAGAUGGAAAAUGUGUCAUUGUGUUAAGCAGCCAUCUAAUUCUGGCUCUCACUAUUAUGAUUAAAAAGGGAACAACAGCAUUGUUCUCCUUGCUGUUUUUGGGCCUGAUCACCACUGCCUUUGGGUGAGUGCUGGGAGAAAUGGCUGUUCACCAGAGUCUGCCAUAUGGCAAAAUUGUGACCU